rnacentral:rRNA from 1 species
GAUGAACGCUGGCGGCGUGCCUAAUACAUGCAAGUCGAGCGAACAGACGAGGAGCUUGCUCCUCUGACGUUAGCGGCGGACGGGUGAGUAACACGUGGAUAACCUACCUAUAAGACUGGGAUAACUUCGGGAAACCGGAGCUAAUACCGGAUAAUAUAUUGAACCGCAUGGUUCAAUAGUGAAAGACGGUUUUGCUGUCACUUAUAGAUGGAUCCGCGCCGCAUUAGCUAGUUGGUAAGGUAACGGCUUACCAAGGCAACGAUGCGUAGCCGACCUGAGAGGGUGAUCGGCCACACUGGAACUGAGACACGGUCCAGACUCCUACGGGAGGCAGCAGUAGGGAAUCUUCCGCAAUGGGCGAAAGCCUGACGGAGCAACGCCGCGUGAGUGAUGAAGGUCUUCGGAUCGUAAAACUCUGUUAUUAGGGAAGAACAAGUGUAAGUAACUAUGCACGUCUUGACGGUACCUAAUCAGAAAGCCACGGCUAACUACGUG